UUGGAAGAGUUUGAUCCUGGCUCAGGAUGAACGCCGGCGGUGUGCCUAAUACAUGCAAGUCGAACGCGUUGGCCCAAUUGAUUGAUGGUGCUUGCACCUGAUUGAUUUUGGUCGCCAACGAGUGGCGGACGGGUGAGUAACACGUAGGUAACCUGCCCAGAAGCGGGGGACAACAUUUGGAAACAGAUGCUAAUACCGCAUAACAACGUUGUUCGCAUGAACAACGCUUAAAAGAUGGCUUCUCGCUAUCACUUCUGGAUGGACCUGCGGUGCAUUAGCUUGUUGGUGGGGUAACGGCCUACCAAGGCGAUGAUGCAUAGCCGAGUUGAGAGACUGAUCGGCCACAAUGGGACUGAGACACGGCCCAUACUCCUACGGGAGGCAGCAGUAGGGAAUCUUCCACAAUGGGCGCAAGCCUGAUGGAGCAACACCGCGUGAGUGAAGAAGGGUUUCGGCUCGUAAAGCUCUGUUGUUAAAGAAGAACACGUAUGAGAGUAACUGUUCAUACGUUGACGGUAUUUAACCAGAAAGUCACGGCUAACUACGUGCCAGCAGCCGCGGUAAUAAA
rnacentral:rRNA from 2 species